UUUACCUGUGGGGACACAGAGGAGCUUUUAAAGGUUGUUGUCCUUGAGUUUCAACAGAAGCGAUGACGUUAACACUCUUGCACAUCACCACCAGUUCCCUGCUGGCAGCAGCCACUGCUUCUCUCGUGGCCUCUCCAGGUCUGGAUCCUCUGAUGCCUAAUGCUGCAGGGACUCAUCCACUGGGAAAGCACAAAUUUCCAGAAGCCUUGUGAGUAGUGGGGCUGUCGGAAGAGUUUUGCCGCAUGCGCUGCAGAUCCUGCUUUGCACAGGCAGCAAAUGCACCAAAGUGCAGAGGGGCUGUGCAGGUGCUUGGAGCUCUCCAGUGCUGCUGGAAGGGAAACGGGUCAUGUGUGAAAAUCGGCUGGGACUUCCGACCCCCGUACAGCCCAAGGACAGGGAGCACAGCAGAAAGGCCACAGAAGUGAAGGAAGAGUUCUGGAGCGUGGGAGAGGCUCCAGGCACGACGAGGGAAAAGCCCAGCCAUGUGCCAUGGGAGGAGAGCACAGACAGAGCUGUCAGCAGAGGGAAGUGUGUGAAUAGCUUUGACCAGCUCGCCUCGAAUACUUCAUCCAAUGUUUUCUCUCUACGAUCUGUGCAAUGGUAAUUGUUAAGAGCCACGAGGAAAGCUCAGUGACAACAAAUCAAGUUUUUCCCCUGUCUGCUUAUGGCUGGAUGACAGAAAACACAAAGCCAUCCUCUCCAUUUGCCGUCUCUUUACUGUGGUGUAGCUCCUAAACCUGCUGUGACUCAGAGGAAUGAGUGCUGGCAUCCAGCAGCUGCAUGCUCCAGCCACAGGGAGAGCACAGCUCUCACUCCUCCAGCACAGAUCCUUGGUUCUGGCCAUCUCUGAGCAGUCGGGUCCCUUGGAGCUUUCUCAAAUCUUGUGGACAGAACUUCCCUAAGAAGCUCCUCACCCUCACAGCCACAGCAGCAGCCCACGGCUUCCUGCCAUCUGCUGCUUCCCAGAAAUCCUUCUGUGAAAUUAGUGAACAUUAAAUAUGCCAUUGCCUUGCAAAGCCCCACAGCUGAUGAUUACUGUGCUGCUGGCUGGGAUAGUGUCUGAUAAAUUCAGCUCAUGGAAACUGAAGUGCAGCCUGCCCUUGCCUGAAACCACAAUGCUCUAUUUAUCCAUAGAUUUGGAGUGCUUCUGUGUAGGCUCCUUUGACAACCAAUGAAAAAAUAAAACCAGAUACUGGUGAAAAUUGUUUCUUCAGCUCAAUUCUGUGCUGCCUCUGUUUGAAGAGUCCAAGGAAGGGCCCAGUGAAGAUUUUACCAGGAUGAAGAAAAAACGUCUGUAUAACAGGACAGUGUUUUUCUACUCAGCAGAAGACCAAGGGAUGUUGGGAAUAGAAAGUAACAUAUUUAAGCCACGGAAGCUUACAGCAUGGGCAUGAAAUGGUAAAGCAGAGACUGCUCAGUUUGACUUUUUUGGUGUUUGUUUUUCCCCUUUUGGGAACAGGAGAAGAGCGGUGGCUGGGUCAGCCGAGGAGUUGCUGGGAGCUGGUUGUUUCUCCAGUGCGGCUGCACACAGCAGCUCCCUGCGUGUCUCAGAACUCCCCCGCUGGCACUAAUUCCAGAGCAGGAGUGAAGAGUGUUCCGUUAGCACAGGAUUUCAGAGCCUGCCUGUGUGACC